rnacentral:rRNA from 1 species
GGAUUAGAUACCCUGGUAGUCCACGCCCUAAACGAUGAAUACUCGAUGUUGGCGAUAUACAGUCAGCGUCUAAGGGAAACCGUUAAGUAUUCCACCUGGGGAGUACGUCCGCAAGGAUGAAACUCAAAGAAAUUGGCGGGGGUCCGCACAAGCGGUGGAUUAUGUGGUUUAAUUCGAUGAUACGCGAGGAACCUUACCAGGGCUAGAAUGUAAUUGGAAUAUAGAGGAAACUUUAUAGCUAGCAAUAGCCGGUUACAAGGUGCUGCAUGGUUGUCGUCAGCUCGUGCCG